GACGAACGCUGGCGGCGUGCCUAAUACAUGCAAGUUGAGCGAUGAAGAUUGGUGCUUGCACCAAUUUGAAGAGCAGCGAACGGGUGAGUAACGCGUGGGGAAUCUGCCUUUGAGCGGGGGACAACAUUUGGAAACGAAUGCUAAUACCGCAUAACAACUUUAAACAUAAGUUUUAAGUUUGAAAGAUGCAAUUGCAUCACUCAAAGAUGAUCCCGCGUUGUAUUAGCUAGUUGGUGAGGUAAAGGCUCACCAAGGCGAUGAUACAUAGCCGACCUGAGAGGGUGAUCGGCCACAUUGGGACUGAGACACGGCCCAAACUCCUACGGGAGGCAGCAGUAGGGAAGCUUCGGCAAUGGACGAAAGUCUGACCGAGAAACGCCGCGUGAGUGAAGAAGGUUGUCGGAUCGUAAAACUCUGUUGGUAGAGAAGAACGUUGGUGAGAGUGGAAAGCUCAUCAAGUGACGGUAACUACCCAGAAAGGGACGGCUAACUACGUG
rnacentral:rRNA from 1 species